UGCAGUCGAACGAUGAAGCCCAGCUUGCUGGGUGGAUUAGUGGCGAACGGGUGAGUAACACGUGAGUAACCUGCCCUUGACUCUGGGAUAAGCCUGGGAAACUGGGUCUAAUACCGGAUAGGAACGUCCACCGCAUGGUGGGUGUUGGAAAGAUUUAUCGGUCAUGGAUGGACUCGCGGCCUAUCAGCUUGUUGGUGAGGUAAUGGCUCACCAAGGCGACGACGGGUAGCCGGCCUGAGAGGGUGACCGGCCACACUGGGACUGAGACACGGCCCAGACUCCUACGGGAGGCAGCAGUGGGGAAUAUUGCACAAUGGGCGAAAGCCUGAUGCAGCGACGCCGCGUGAGGGAUGACGGCCUUCGGGUUGUAAACCUCUUUCAGUAGGGAAGAAGCGAAAGUGACGGUACCUGCAGAAGAAGCACCGGCUACUACGUGCCAGCAGCC
rnacentral:rRNA from 1 species